rnacentral:rRNA from 1 species
GUUACCUACGGGACGCAGCAGUGAGGAAUAUUGGUCAAUGGGCGGGAGCCUGAACCAGCCAAGUCGCGUGAGGGAAGACGGUCCUACGGAUUGUAAACCUCUUUUGCCGGGGAGCAACGGGGUCCUUGCGAGGGCCCGAUGAGAGUACCCGGAGAAAAAGCAUCGGCUAACUCCGUGCCAGCAGCCGCGGUAAUACGGAGGAUGCGAGCGUUAUCCGGAUUUAUUGGGUUUAAAGGGUGCGUAGGUGGGCUGUUAAGUCAGCUGUGAAAGUCCGCGGCUCAACCGUGGAAUUGCAGUUGAAACUG